rnacentral:misc_RNA from 1 species
GAUGAAGAACGUAGUGAAAUGCGAUAAGUAGUGUGAAUUGCAGAAUUCAGUGAAUCAUCGAAUCUUUGAACGCACAUUGCGCCCCUUGGUAUUCCAUGGGGCAUGCCUGUUCGAGCGUCAUUUGUACCUUCAAGCUCUGCUUGGUGUUGGGUGUUUGUCUCGCCUCUGCGUGUAGACUCGCCUCAAAACAAUUGGCAGCCGGCGUAUUGAUUUCGGAGCGCAGUACAUCUCGCGCUUUGCACUCAUAACGACGACGUCCAAAAGUACAUUUUUACACUCGUGACCUCGGAUCAGGUAGGGAUACCCGCUGAACUUAAGCAUAUCAAUAAGCGGAGGA